GGCGGACGGGUUAGUAGCGCGUGGGAACGUGCCUUUUGCUUCGGAAUAGCCCUGGGAAACCGGGGGUAAUACCGGAUGAGCCCUGAGGGGGAAAGAUUUAUCGGCAAGAGAUCGGCCCGCGUCUGAUUAGGUAGUUGGUGGGGUAAAGGCCUACCAAGCCUACGAUCGGUAGCUGGUUUGAGAGGAUGAUCAGCAACACUGGGACUGAGACACGGCCCAGACUCCUACGGGAGGCAGCAGUGGGGAAUCUUAGACAAUGGGCGAAAGCCUGAUCUAGCCAUGCCGCGUGGGUGAUGAAGGCCCUAGGGUCGUAAAGCCCUUUCGCCGGGGAAGAUAAUGACGGUACCCGGUAAAGAAACCCCGGCUAACUCCGUGCCAGCAGCCGCGGUAAUACGGAGGGGGUUAGCGUUGUUCGGAAUGACUGGGCGUAAAGCGCGCGUAGGCGGAUCGGAUAGUUGGGGGUGAAAGCCCAGGGCUCAACCCUGGAAUUGCCUUCAAAACUCCCGGUCUGGAGUUCGAGAGAGGUGGGUGGAAUUCCGAGUGUAGAGGUGAAAUUCGUAGAUAUUCGGAGGAACACCAGUGGCGAAGGCGGCCCACUGGCUCGACACUGACGCUGAGGCGCGAAAGCGCGGGGAGCAAACAGGAUUAGA
rnacentral:rRNA from 1 species